UCUCGUUCUCAGGGCGAGGUGCAAGUCCUCACCGGCGGUAAACGGACCUGGUCCGAAGCCCGCGAGCGCCUUCCAUGGAAGGGACCAGCAGAUCAGGUGCAACUCCUGAGCCGACGGUUAUAGUCCGGAUGAAAGAGACUACG
rnacentral:ncRNA from 1 species